rnacentral:rRNA from 1 species
UUCCGGUUGAUCCUGCCGGACCCGACUGCUAUUUGGGUGAGAAUAAGCCAUGCGAGUUGAAUGGGAUACCUAAAUUUCCCAUAGCAAACUGCUCAGUAACACAUGAUCAACUUGCCCUAUGGAGAAACAUAACCUCGGGAAACUGAGGAUAAUAUUUCAUAAUUGAAUAGGCUUGGAAAAGUUUUUCAAUAAAAGAGAUAAGAAAAAUGGUUCUUAUUUGCCAUAGGAUAGGAUCGUGCUCGAUUAUGGUUGUUGGUGAGGUAACGGCUCACCAAGCCGAUAAUCGAUAGGGGCCGUGAGAGCGGGAGCCCCGAGAUGGGUACUGAGACAACGACCCAGACCUUACGAGGUGCAGCAGGCGCGGGACCUCCGCAAUACACGAAAGUGUGACGGGGUUACCCAAAGUGUCCAAUAUUGGACUGUGGUAGGUGAGUAAUGUCCCCUACUAGAAAGGAGAGGGCAAGGCUGGUGCCAGCCGCCGCGGUAAAACCAGCUCUUCAAGUGGUCGGGAUGAUUAUUGGGCUUAAAGUGUCCGUAGCCGGUUUAGUAAGUUCCUGGUAAAAUCGAGUAGCUUAACUAUUUGUAUGCUAGGAAUACUGCUAUACUAGAGGGCGGGAGAGGUCUGAGGUACUACAGGGGUAGGGGUGAAAUCUUAUAAUCCUUGUAGGACCACCAGUGGCGAAGGCGUCAGACUGGAACGUGCCUGACGGUGAGGGACGAAAGCCAGGGGAGCGAACCGGAUUAGAUACCCGGGUAGUCCUGGCCGUAAACGAUGCAUACUAGGUGAUGGCACGGCCAUGAGCCGUGUCAGUGCCGUAGGGAAACCGUUAAGUGUGCCGCCUGGGAAGUACGGUCGCAAGGCUAAAACUUAAAGGAAUUGGCGGGGGAGCACCACAAGGGGUGAAGCCUGCGGUUCAAUUGGAGUCAACGCCGGG